rnacentral:SRP_RNA from 1 species
CGGCAGGUAGGACCGGGGAGCUAGCCCUGCCCUACGCCUCAAAUGGGCUUCACGGAGGGGUCAGCAACCCCAGGGUGAGCGGGGGAAGCGGGGCCGUAAGACGCCGCGCCGUCCGUCGAGGGCUCGCCCCGCGGGGCUGGCGGUUGACCUGCGCCGCCCUCGUAGGGGGGCGGCGGGGCAUUCGCCGGGCGAACCUGGCCAGGCCCGGGAGGGAGCAACCUAAGUCUGGACGUUCAGCGCUCGCGGGAUCCGAGAAGGAGGAGGGCGGGGUGCCCCUGCGACCCCACCAGCCUGCGAUCCCGGGGAGCUGCCG